UGAGGAAUAUUGGUCAAUGGACGCAAGUCUGAACCAGCCAUGCCGCGUGAAGGAUGAAGGCCUUCUGGGUUGUAAACUUCUUUUAUGUGGGAAGAAACCUCUGAUUUCUAUUAGAGUUGACGGUACCAUAGGAAUAAGCACCGGCUAACUCCGUGCCAGCAGCCGCGGUAAUACGGAGGGUGCAAGCGUUAUCCGGAUUUACUGGGUUUAAAGGGUGCGUAGGUGGGUAUGUAAGUCAGUGGUGAAAUCCCCGAGCUUAACUUGGGAACUGCCAUUGAUACUAUAUAUCUUGAAUACCGUAGAGGUAAGCGGAAUAUGUCAUGUAGCGGUGAAAUGCUUAGAUAUGACAUGGAACACCAAUUGCGAAGGCAGCUUACUAUGCGGUGAUUGACACUGAGGCACGAAAGCGUGGGUAGCAAACA
rnacentral:rRNA from 1 species